rfam:Gossypium hirsutum cultivar TM-1 chromosome 1, whole genome shotgun sequence
AACCCUUGCAUUAGACAUUUUCUAAGUAAUUCCUUAAAUCUUUCUUAGGCUUCAUACAAAAUUUCAUCCUCUGAUUGUCAAAAAGAUGUUAUGUCAUUUCUGAGCUU